rnacentral:rRNA from 1 species
AUACGUAGGGUGCGAGCGUUGUCCGGAAUUACUGGGCGUAAAGAGCUCGUAGGUGGUUUGUCGCGUCGUCUGUGAAAUUCCGGGGCUUAACUCCGGGCGUGCAGGCGAUACGGGCAUAACUUGAGUACUGUAGGGGAGACUGGAAUUCCUGGUGUAGCGGUGAAAUGCGCAGAUAUCAGGAGGAACACCGGUGGCGAAGGCGGGUCCCUGGGCAGUAACUGACGCUGAGGAGCGAAAGCAUGGGUAGCGAACAGGAUUGGAUACCCUGGUAGUCCAUGCCGUAAACGGUGGGCGCUAGGUGUAGGGGUCUUCCACGACUUCUGUGCCGUAGCUAACGCAUUAAGCGCCCCGCCUGGGGAGUACGGCCGCAAGGCUAAAACUCAAAUGAAUUGACGGGG